AACGAACGCUGGCGGCAUGCCUAACACAUGCAAGUCGAACGAGACCUUCGGGUCUAGUGGCGCACGGGUGCGUAACGCGUGGGAAUCUGCCCUUGGGUGCGGAAUAACAGUUAGAAAUGACUGCUAAUACCGCAUAAUGACUCCGGUCCAAAGAUUUAUCGCCCAAGGAUGAGCCCGCGUCGGAUUAGCUAGUUGGUGAGGUAAAAGCUCACCAAGGCGACGAUCCGUAGUUGGUCUGAGAGGAUGAUCAGCCACACUGGGACUGAGACACGGCCCAGACUCCUACGGGAGGCAGCAGUGGGGAAUAUUGGACAAUGGGCGAAAGCCUGAUCCAGCAAUGCCGCGUGAGUGAUGAAGGCCUUAGGGUUGUAAAGCUCUUUUACCCGGGAUGAUAAUGACAGUACCGGGAGAAUAAGCCCCGGCUAACUCCGUGCCAGCCGCCGCGGUAAAAC
rnacentral:rRNA from 1 species